GAUGAACGCUGGCGGCGUGCCUAAUACAUGCAAGUCGAGCGAACAGAUGAGGAGCUUGCUCCUCUGACGUUAGCGGCGGACGGGUGAGUAACACGUGGAUAACCUACCUAUAAGACUGGGAUAACUUCGGGAAACCGGAGCUAAUACCGGAUAAUAUAUUGAACCGCAUGGUUCAAUAGUGAAAGACGGUUUUGCUGUCACUUAUAGAUGGAUCCGCGCCGCAUUAGCUAGUUGGUAAGGUAACGGCUUACCAAGGCAACGAUGCGUAGCCGACCUGAGAGGGUGAUCGGCCACACUGGAACUGAGACACGGUCCAGACUCCUACGGGAGGCAGCAGUAGGGAAUCUUCCGCAAUGGGCGAAAGCCUGGCGGAGCAACGCCGCGUGAGUGAUGAAGGUCUUCGGAUCGUAAAACUCUGUUAUUAGGGAAGAACAAAUGUGUAAGUAACUAUGCACGUCUUGACGGUACCUAAUCAGAAAGCCACGGCUAACUACGUG
rnacentral:rRNA from 1 species